GACUUUUUAGAUACAAUACUAAAGGCACAAUCAACGAAAGAAAUAAUUGAUCAUCUGGACUUCAUUAAAGUUAAAAAUUUCUGCUCUGCAAAAUACACUACUAAAACAAUUAUAA